GGGGGCGGAUCGGGCCCGGUGGCCCGCCUGGUCUUCAAAAUCAGUGCGCGGGGUGACGAGCCUCGCGGGUGGGUUCGACUCCCAUGCGCCCCCGCCA
rnacentral:tRNA from 3 species